rfam:Oryza glumipatula chromosome 4, whole genome shotgun sequence.
AAUAAGUGUAGUUUUGCACGGUUCAUAUAACGUUUGAUUGUUCGUCUUAUUUUAAAAUUUUUUAUAUGAUUAAUAUUUUUAUUGUUACUAGAUGAUAAAACAUGAAUAAUACUUUAUUUAUGACUAAUUUUUUUAUUUUUUUAAAAAGUUUCAAAUAAGACGGAUGGUCAAACGUUUUACAGAUUUUCACGGCUACACUUAUU